GGCUCAGGGAGUGAGGGAGAGACCGGCAGCAUGACAGGAUGGUGUGGAGAGCAGCAGGAGGAGGAGCAUGGUGUUGGGGAGAGCUGGCCAGCUGGCCCUAAGCACCUACAUCCUGAGCACUGAGCUUCCUGACACCUGGGAAUAUCUCCACACAGAGCCAAAGAUGCCUGGGAAAGCCAAGGCCCAUGUGGCCCCAGAAGCUUAGAGACGAGGGGCAGAGAGCAGCUUGGCCACGCUCAGUUUUGCCAUCCAUGACCAGAAGCUGCCUGGCCUCAUGUCGGGCCCAGGCCCCAUGGCACAAUGGGUGCUGUCAGGCCAGUAUGGGUGCCUCAAUCCCUCUCCUUCUAUUCCCCGCAGGUGAUCCGCAGGCCACCUCACACAAUGACAGCAGGCAGCCAGAGCCCAGAAUCCAGCCUCCAUGAGGACAGGCUGCUGCCGCUGCCAUAUCCAUGUGGCAGCCACCAGGCACAGAUGAACAAGCUGGAAGACAGUGAGACACUGUCCCACGGAAGCGUCUCACAGGAAUACACAGACAGCGUAUCCAGCUUGCUACCUCUGCCAGAGCAGGCAGUGGCUCAGACAGCCGCACCACAGCACGUGCCAGUAGCUGAGACACCAACAUCUGCUAGUGGCACCUGCGAGCUGCCUGAUCUGCAAGCAGCAGCCUCUGCCUCUAGUGGCAGAGGAAUGGAAAAGGCCUUUGUGCCCGAGGCCCCUGGCCAACAAGAAUCUCUCCCGCCUGCUUGCGGGACUCAAGGUGAGCGCCAGCCACGGCGUGCUCUGUUCAGGAGGGCGCUUGGGUGUCUGUUCAGGGUUUGCUGCUGCUGCUGCAUCACAAGACAGGAAGAGUAGCCGUGUCAGGCCACCAGCACCGGGCAACUUCUCAGAGCUGGCUGCUGGCCCCCAAGUAGCUGUGCAGCACCCUGAGCGAUCAUCACAGGUCAUAGCAAGACAGCACCUCAAGAAUUAACCCCCCCACCUCACAGUACACCCUUCCUGCAUCCUCAGCAGGCUUAGCUUGGCACAGGGGGGCCCACAG
rnacentral:lncRNA from 1 species